rnacentral:rRNA from 1 species
GACGAAGCGUGCGAACGUUAUUCGGAAUCACUGGGCUUAAAGGGCGCGUAGGCGGGUCGGUCAGUCUGGGGUGAAAUCCCACGGCCCAACCGUGGAAGUGCCUCUGAUACUGCGGGCCUCGAGGGGGGUAGGGGCGUGCGGAACUCAGGGUGGAGCGGUGAAAUGCGUAGAUAUCCUGAGGAACACCGGUGGCGAAAGCGGCGCGCUGGAUCACUUCUGACGCUGAGGCGCGAAAGCCAGGGGAGCAAACGGG